rnacentral:rRNA from 1 species
UACGAAGGGUGCAAGCGUUAAUCGGAAUUACUGGGCGUAAAGCGCGCGUAGGUGGUUUGAUAAGUUGGAUGUGAAAGCCCCGGGCUCAACCUGGGAAUUGCAUCCAAAACUGUCUGACUAGAGUAUGGCAGAGGGUGGUGGAAUUUCCUGUGUAGCGGUGAAAUGCGUAGAUAUAGGAAGGAACACCAGUGGCGAAGGCGACCACCUGGGCUAAUACUGACACUGAGGUGCGAAAGCGUGGGGAGCAAACAGG